UUCACUUCUCGGCCUUUUGGCUAAGAUCAAAUAUAGCAUCAGUUCUUAUCAGUUUAAUAUUUGAUACAUUGCUGACCUGGGGGCCAAAUACGAAAUUGAUUUUUUUGGGACAGGGAGAUGGAACAGGGGCUUGCUUCUUCCACCCCAAAUAUCAAUCUGGUAUUGCAGUGCCUCCAGUUAAGGGAUAGGUCAA